GCAGAACUGAACUUGGCAAGGGAUGUUAAAAACGAUACGAAGACUUGUAAUCUAUAAGGCAUAAGAAAGUAACAUCUUGAGAGUGUGUUCAGAGGCAGACAGGAGUAAUGGAUUUCACCACUAUCAGCCACCUGGAGUCUCCUGAGCUCCAAAGAUCACCAUGUAUUCCAGACAUCUCAGCUGUUCAAAGAAGAGGAAGAUUUUCAUAUUAUUUAAUGAACAUGGAUGAGGAGGGUUCUUCUGUAUCUCUAAAUAUCUGUGUUGACUUGAUUUACCAAAGAGCUGCUCCUGCUGCCUACCUUCCACACAGGACAUUGGGAAGCUCUUCCAGGACAGCUCAAAUGUACCUUGCUCAGCAGGCCGUGCUAAGCUGGUCAUCACCUGUGGCUGGCAUCUCUCUUAUCUGUGAGAUGACUUUCCACAUCCACAUAUGAAUGAAGCACUAAAUCAUAGAACCAUAGAAUUGUUUAAGUUGGAAGAGACCCCCUAAAGAUCACCUAGUCCAUCUCCCCUGCAGUGAACAGGGACACCUACAGCUAGGUCAGGUUGCUCAGAGCCCGGUUCAGCCUGAUUCUCCCCAAGUACAGGGCAUCCACACCACUCUGGGAAGUCUGUUCCAGUGCUUCACUACACUUACUGUAAAAAACAAACAAACAAACAAAAAAACCUCCUUAUAUCCAAUCUAAAUGUCCCCUCUUUUAGUUUGAAACCAUUUCCCCUGUCCUAUCACCACAGACCCUGCUAAAGAAUCUGUUCUUUCUUACAGUCCCUUUAGACACUGAAAGUACGGUCUUAGAUCUUCUUGGAGCCUUCUCUUCUCCAGGCUGAACAGCCCCAGCUCUCAUAAGGAGGUGAAAAUGAGCAGCAAGUUGGUGCUGUGGACACAAGGAAAUGUCCUUUUAACACUUGUGUGGUUGUUCUGUUCUUGUCUUUCUGAUUAGAAACUGCAGUCUUACUGAUUCUUUAGCAGGUUUGAUCUCCCAGUAUCAAUAUUCAUUCAGAUAU
ensembl:lncRNA